rnacentral:rRNA from 1 species
AUGGCGUCCACCAACGGCUACGGCAACGUCACCGGCGGCGGCCUCCCCACCCACACCGCCACCUCCAAGCCGCCCGUCGACGACCCGCGCCACCAGAAGCAGCGCCUGCGCCGCCGCCGCGGCUGCCUCUGCUGCGCGUGCCUCGCCGUCACCCUCGUCCUCGUCGCCGUCGUCCUCCUGAUCCUCUUCCUCACCGUGCUCCGCGUCCGGGACCCGACCACGCGGCUCGUCUCCACGCGCCUCAUCGGCGUCGCCCCGCGCCUCACCUUCCCGGCGCUCAACAUCCAGCUCAACGUCACCCUCCUCCUCACGGUGUCCGUGCACAACCCCAACCCGGCCUCCUUCUCCUUCCCCUCGGGCGGCCACACCGACCUCACCUACCGCGGCGCCCACGUCGGCGACGCCGAGAUCGACCCCGGCCGCGUCCCCAGCAAGGGGGACGGGGACGUGCAGCUGGCGCUGACGCUGCAGGCGGACCGGUUCGCCGGGGACCUGGCGCAGCUGGUCGCCGACGUGGAGGCCGGGUCGCUGCCGCUGGAGGCCAGCACCAGGAUCCCCGGGCGGGUGGCGGUGUUCGGCGUGUUCAAGCGCCACGCCGUCGCCUACUCCGACUGCAGCUUCGUCUUCGGCGUCGCGGAGAUGGGCGUCCGCAGCCAGGAGUGCCGCGACCACACCAAGCUCUGA